CUCCGGCGGGUCGCGCGCGCGGGCUGGGGGCCGAUCCCGGUCCCCGCAGGCGAGGCAGCCCGCUUCGCAGCCGCUCCUUGGCGCCCUAAAACAAGUAGCCCCAACGUGAGAGAAACAAAAGGUCCCACUCAAAAUUGGCAGUCCUUUGGGUUACUUGGUAAAUGGAUCAGAGCAGGACCACAAUGUGCUACACGUUGCCUCUGAAAUUCAUACUCCUACAAGUGUGCUUCCUAAUGGUCCUAUUGCUACGAUGUCAUCAUUGAAGAAGCAGGCAUCUUGUAUGAGUGACCUCACUGCCCAGUGUAACUGGUUGUAGAGAAGUCUCAGUGGAAGGCUGGCCAGACCACCAGCCAGCAAUGGUGGUGCCUGUGGUUGGGCUCCAGUAUCCAGAACUAUGAGUGAGCCAUAAGGGAGACUCGGGAGAGAUCUGGAGGGCAGAGGGAAGCAGCAGCGUUUUGUGGUUCACACACAGUGUGGUGAUCUGCCGAUUCACCACCUUGGAGGUGAGGCAGCAGCUGGACCUGCAACGUCUCUACCUUCGC
rnacentral:lncRNA from 1 species